rnacentral:rRNA from 1 species
GCGUGCGCAGGCGGUUUGUAAGACUGUCGUGAAAUCCCCGGGCUCAACCUGGGAAUGGCGAUGGUGACUGCAAGGCUAGAGUUUGGCAGAGGGGGGGUAGAAUUCCACGUGUAGCAGUGAAAUGCGUAGAUAUGUGGAGGAACACCGAUGGCGAAGGCAGCCCCCUGGGUCAAAACUGACGCUCAUGCACGAAAGACGUGGGGAGGCAAACAGGAUUAGAUACCCCACGU